AAACUUUCAACAACGGAUCUCUUGGUUCUGGCAUCGAUGAAGAACGCAGCGAAAUGCGAUAAGUAAUGUGAAUUGCAGAAUUCAGUGAAUCAUCGAAUCUUUGAACGCACAUUGCGCCCUCUGGUAUUCCGGAGGGCAUGCCUGUUCGAGCGUUAUUU
rnacentral:rRNA from 1 species